UGCUGUGAUGAGUUAAUUUGCGCCUGAUAGCGAGGUUGGUGACAAAUGCCUAUUGUCAAACAACCACCUUGCCUAUGUGACGACAACAUCUCUGAGCA
rnacentral:snoRNA from 1 species